rnacentral:rRNA from 1 species
GAGUUUGAUCCUGGCUCAGGAUGAACGCUAGCUACAGGCUUAACACAUGCAAGUCGAGGGGCAGCAUGGUCUUAGCUUGCUAAGGCCGAUGGCGACCGGCGCACGGGUGAGUAACACGUAUCCAACCUGCCGUCUACUCUUGGACAGCCUUCUGAAAGGAAGAUUAAUACAAGAUGGCAUCAUGAGUCCGCAUGUUCACAUGAUUAAAGGUAUUCCGGUAGACGAUGGGGAUGCGUUCCAUUAGAUAGUAGGCGGGGUAACGGCCCACCUAGUCUUCGAUGGAUAGGGGUUCUGAGAGGAUGGUCCCCCACAUUGGAACUGAGACACGGUCCAAACUCCUACGGGAGGCAGCAGUGAGGAAUAUUGGUCAAUGGGCGAGAGCCUGAACCAGCCAAGUAGCGUGAAGGAUGACUGCCCUAUGGGUUGUAAACUUCUUUUACAAAGGAAUAAAGUCGGGUAUGCAUAC